rnacentral:rRNA from 1 species
CAAACGGCCCGGGGGUUGACCUGGCUCAAUCGUACCGAGGAGGGGCUAGAUUCUAUGACGGUCGCGGCGGACGGGCGAGUAACACGUGGGCAACCUGCCUGUAAGACUGGGAUAACUUCGGGAAACCGAAGCUAAUACCGGAUAGGAUCUUCUCCUUCAUGGGAGAUGAUUGAAAGAUGGUUUCGGCUAUCACUUACAGAUGGGCCCGCGGUGCAUUAGCUAGUUGGUGAGGUAACGGCUCACCAAGGCAACGAUGCAUAGCCGACCUGAGAGGGUGAUCGGCCACACUGGGACUGAGACACGGCCCAGACUCCUACGGGAGGCAGCAGUAGGGAAUCUUCCGCAAUGGACGAAAGUCUGACGGAGCAACGCCGCGUGAGUGAUGAAGGCUUUCGGGUCGUAAAACUCUGUUGUUAGGGAAGAACAAGUACAAGAGUAACUGCUUGUACCUUGACGGUACCUAACCAGAAAGCCACGGCUAACUACGUGCCAGCAGCCGCGGUAAUACGUAGGUGGCAAGCGUUAUCCGGAAUUAUUGGGCGUAAAGCGCGCGCAGGCGGUUUCUUAAGUCUGAUGUGAAAGCCCACGGCUCAACCGUGGAGGGUCAUUGGAAACUGGGGAACUUGAGUGCAGAAGAGAAAAGCGGAAUUCCACGUGUAGCGGUGAAAUGCGGUAGAGAUGUGGGAGGGAACACCAGUGGCGAAAGGCGGGCUUUUUGGGUCUGUAACUGACGCUCAGGCGCGAAAGCGUGGGGGAGCAACAGGAGUUAGAUACGCUGGGUGGGUCCACGCCCGUAAACGAUGAAUUGCUAGAGUGGUUAGGAG